rfam:Brassica oleracea var. oleracea cultivar TO1000 chromosome C9, whole genome shotgun sequence
GGAAUAUAAGAACCCGUCUCUUAAUUUUUAACUAAAAAAGCUAAGAACCGGUUCUUAAAUAAGAGUUUUAAGAGCUGGUUUAUAACUUUUUUAGUUAAAAAUUAACAGACGAGUUCUUAUAUUCC